UUGUACUGUGAAACUGCGAAUGGCUCAUUAAAUCAGUUAUAGUUUAUUUGAUGGUAUCUUGCUACAUGGAUAACUGUGGUAAUUCUAGAGCUAAUACAUGCUUAAAAGCCCCGACUUCGGAAAGGGUGUAUUUAUUAGAUAAAAGCCAACCCUUCGGGUCCCUUGGUGAUUCAUAAUAACUUCUCGAAUCGCAUGGCCUUGCGCCGGCGAUGCUUCAUUCAAAUAUCUGCCCUAUCAACUGUCGAUGGUAGGAUAGAGGCCUACCAUGGUUGCAACGGGUAACGGGGAAUAAGGGUUCGAUUCCGGAGAGGGAGCCUGAGAAACGGCUACCACAUCCAAGGAAGGCAGCAGGCGCGCAAAUUACCCAAUCCCGACACGGGGAGGUAGUGACAAUAAAUAACAAUAUAGGGCUUUCAUAGGUCUUAUAAUUGGAAUGAGUACAAUUUAAAUCCCUUAACGAGGAACAAUUGGAGGGCAAGUCUGGUGCCAGCAGCCGCGGUAAUUCCAGCUCCAAUAGCGUAUAUUAAAGUUGUUGCAGUUAAAAAGCUCGUAGUUGAACUUCAGCCCUGGCCGGCCGGUCCGCCUCACGGCGUGUACUGUCCAGCCGGGGCUUCCCUCCUGGUGAUCCCGCGUGCUCUUUACUGGGCGCGUGGGGGAACCAGGAUCUUUACUUUGAAAAAAUUAGAGUGUUCAAAGCAGGCCUAUGCCCGAAUAUAUUAGCAUGGAAUAAUAAAAUAGGACGCGCGGUUCUAUUUUGUUGGUUUCUAGAGUCGCCGUAAUGAUUAAUAGGGAUAGUUGGGGGCAUUAGUAUUCGCAUGCUAGAGGUGAAAUUCUUGGAUUUUGCGAAGACUAACUUCUGCGAAAGCAUUUGCCAAGGAUGUUUUCAUUAAUCAAGAACGAAGGUUAGGGGAUCGAAAACGAUCAGAUACCGUUGUAGUCUUAACAGUAAACUAUGCCGACUAGGGAUUGGUGGAUGUUAUUUUAUUGACUCCAUCAGCACCUUACGAGAAAUCAAAGUC
rnacentral:rRNA from 1 species